rnacentral:rRNA from 1 species
ACGGGUGAGUAACGCGUGGGGACAUACCCUUUUCUACGGAAUAGCUCUGGGAAACUGGAAUUAAUACCGUAUACGCCCUACGGGGGAAAGAUUUAUCGGGGAAGGAUUGGCCCGCGUUGGAUUAGCUAGUUGGUGGGGUAAAGGCCUACCAAGGCGACGAUCCAUAGCUGGUCUGAGAGGAUGAUCAGCCACAUUGGGACUGAGACACGGCCCAAACUCCUACGGGAGGCAGCAGUGGGGAAUAUUGGACAAUGGGCGCAAGCCUGAUCCAGCCAUGCCGCGUGAGUGAUGAAGGCCUUAGGGUUGUAAAGCUCUUUCACCGAUGAAGAUAAUGACGGUAGUCGGAGAAGAAGCCCCGGCUAACUUCGUGCCAGCAGCCGCGGUAAUACGAAGGGGGCUAGCGUUGUUCGGAAUUACUGGGCGUAAAGCGCACGUAGGCGGAUAUUUAAGUCAGGGGUGAAAUCCCAGAGCUCAACUCUGGAACUGCCUUUGAUACUGGGUAUCUUGAGUAUGGAAGAGGUAAGUGGAAUUGCGAGUGUAGAGGUGAAAUUCGUAGA